AUUGAACGCUGGCGGCAGGCCUAACACAUGCAAGUCGAACGAGGGGCGGACGGGUGAGUAAUGUCUGGGAAACUGCCUGAUGGAGGGGGAUAACUACUGGAACCGGUAGCUAAUACCGCAUACCAUCAGAUGUGCCCAGAUCGAGUGAUCUUGUUGGUGGGGUAACGGCUCACUAAGGCGACGAUCCCUAGCUGGUCUGAGAGGAUGCCCAGCCCCACGGGAACUGAGACACGGUCCAGAAUCCUACGGGAGGCAGCAGUGGGGAAUAUUGCACAAUGGGCGCAAGCCUGAUGCAGCCAUGCCGCGGGUAUGAAGAAGGCAUUCGGGUUGUAAAGUACUUUCAGCGGGGAGGCGUUACCCGAAGAAGAAGCACCGGCUAACUCCGUGCCAGCAGCCGCGGUAAGAC
rnacentral:rRNA from 1 species